UACAGAGGGUGCAAGCGUUAAUCGGAAUUACUGGGCGUAAAGAGCACGUAGGUGGAUACCUAAGUCGAAUGUGAAAUCCCUGGGCUUAACCUAGGAACUGCAUACGAUACUGGGUGUCUAGAGUAUGGUAGAGGGAAGUGGAAUUUCCGGAGUAGCGGUGAAAUGCGUAGAUAUCGGAAGGAACACCAGUGGCGAAGGCGGCUUCCUGGACUAAUACUGACACUGAGGUGCGAAAGCAUGGGGAGCAAACAGG
rnacentral:rRNA from 2 species